AAUUGUGAAACUGACAACCUGUCAUAGAAAGUCUUACAAUAUGAAGAGGACAAUUAAAUGUGUCGAUAUAACCUAACGUGGGAAUCAUUUGUGACACCUAUUUUUACAAAAUACAUCAAUUUUCCUCAAUAAAUACGAUUAAAGGGUCAUGGUCCUGGACUGACCAUGUCGUAUGCCGUUUCAGCAGUACUCUGGAUGGCAUGGACCAGCCUUGACGUUAAUUCUAAUGCCGCCAUUGCCGUGGAAGUUGUGAAGCUAUUAGCACCGCGUUGAAGACCACGCACAAUCCUACCGUCCUUUUGAUACUGCUCUAUGGGUAACCAGAACAGAUCACGGAUUCCUUGGACUGCAAUCGAAUCAAUCGAUCUUAAUUCAGAACAAUUUAGCUGCGCCAAACCCAUAAGCAGACCCGCCAGCGGCCCGUGAGUAAGAUCCACGCGUUUACCAUGAUAAUCCAACCUGAUAAGGACCUCCGGAGCGAAUAUAACGCUUCUACAAUAAUUCAAUAAGCACUUGUUUGAGAUGCAUCCAUCGGGGUUUGUGCAUUAGGCGCUGUCGAGGCAUCGUUUACGCUCAUUACUGGCGGAUGAUGCGUAGGUGUUCCAUGUUUUGAGCCAGGCGACGAUUGAGUACUGCUAGACGUGCUCGUC